rnacentral:rRNA from 1 species
GCUCGUAGACUUUGCAGAGAUGGAUUGGUGCCUUCGGGACUCUGAGACAGGUGCUGCAUGGCUGUCGUCAGCUCGUGUUGUGAAAUGUUGGGUUAAGUCCCGCAACGAGCGCAACCCUUAUCCUUGUUUGCCAGCACUUAAUGGGGGAAACUCCAGGAAAACGGCCGGGGAUAAACCGAAGAAAGGGGGGAACAACUUCAAUUCUUCUGGGCCCUUACAAUUAGGGUUCCCCCCUUGCUACAUGGGCGUAUACAAAGGGCUGCCAACUCCCAAGAGUGACCGAAUCCCAAAAAGUAGUUCUAAUUCCGAAUUGAAUUCGGCACCUCACCUCCUUGAAUUCGAAUUCCCUAUUAUUCUGGAAUCAAAAUGCCACGGGGAUUACUUUCCCGGGUCUUGUACACACGGAUA